GGAGGUGUAGCUCAGUGGUAGAGCUUAUGCUUAGCACGCCCAAAAUCCUGGGAUCAAUCCCCAGCACCACAA
rnacentral:tRNA from 1 species